rnacentral:rRNA from 1 species
GACGAACGCUGGCGGCGUGCUUAACACAUGCAAGUCGAACGGAAAGGCCUGCUUUCCCUUGUGGAUUGCGGGUACUCGAGUGGCGAACGGGUGAGUAACACGUUAGUGAUCUGCCCCCAACUUGGGUAUAAGCCUGGGAAACUGGGUCUAAUUCCCGAUAGGACUGCAGGGUGGUGCCUGUGGUGGAAAACGAUUUUCUAGUGGUUGGGGAUGAGCUCGCGGCCUAUCAGCUUGUUGGUGGGGUAAUGGCCUACCAAGGCGGCGACGGGUAGCCGGCCUGAGAGGGGGGACGGCGACAUUGGGACUGGGAUACGGCCCAGACGCCUACGGGAGGCAGGAGAGGGGAAUAUAGGACAAUGGGCGGAAGCCUGAUGCAGCGACGCCGCGUGGGGGAUGACGGCCUUCGGGUGGUAAACUCCUUUCGACCGAGAGGAAGCCACCUGGUUGGAAGGGUGGUGACGGUAGUGGUAGAAGAAGCACCGGCUAACUACGUG